rnacentral:rRNA from 1 species
UACGAAGGGGGCUAGCGUUGUUCGGAAUUACUGGGCGUAAAGGGCGCGUAGGCGGCCGAUUAAGUUAGAUGUGAAAGUCCUGGGCUCAACCUGGGGGACUGCAUUUAAUACUGGUUGGCUUGAAUCCGGGAGAGGGACGUGGAAUUCCAGGUGUAGCGGUGAAAUGCGUAGAUAUCUGGAGGAACACCGGUGGCGAAGGCGGGUCUCUGGGCCGAUACUGACGCUGAGGAGCGAAAGCGUGGGGAGCGAACAGG